GCCGCAACGGUGGCAGAGGUAGGUGUGGUGGACGGGUUGAGGACAACAUCAAUGUCGCUGAUGAUCUUUGUGAUAAAGGUUUGGACGAAUUGUGUCAUGCCAGCGUCAGACGAGGAUGAGUCGGAUGACGGGGGCUGUAUGAGCUCGGCGACGACAAUUGGCUGGACGGGGACGGUGGAAUCAUCGGCCUCCAUGCGACGGAACACGAUCACAAGGAUUUG
rnacentral:misc_RNA from 1 species